AUUCACUGUUUCACAGGGGGCAUCUCAUUGUAACCCUCACAUGCUCAUAGCAGCUAACAGAUGGAAAAGCACAGAUGCAAGCUCAGGACCACGCUGCAGUUCAAAUUCCAGCUCAGUCAUUCACUAGCUAUUGACCCCGGACAUGUCACAUAGCCACUGUGUGCCUCAGUUUACUCAUUCAUAAAAUGGAGAUGAUACUUUAUAAGAGUGCUGUCACAUGAGGCAAUGUUUUCAAAAAUGCCUAGCCCACCAAAAAAAAAAAAAGCCUUUAGGUAAGUGAUACUGACUGCUGCUAUUUUUCACUCUUUUUCUCUGUCCCUCAGCUCUGGGUUGUGACCCAGACAGUCACCCUGCCCCAGCAGCUCUCCUGGAGAAAGCUGGUCUUCCCUUGCGCAAAGCUCCUUUUCCCAAUGCUUUGGCAAGGCCCAGCAGCCAAAUACAGCUUGCUUAGCUUCUCUGUGGCUGCAGCCACACUCUGCCCUGGGAGCAGGCAGCAGCGACCCAGCGGGAGGUCAGGGCUCAGUGUUACUUACCCCCGGAGCGGCCUGGGCUCCUCAGGCUCAGCAUGUGGGGUUGGGGGUACCCCAGUGGUUCGAUUUGGCCUCCAGUUGUUGCAGACUUUAGCACCUUGAAGUGCCCAAACUGGAGAGAUCCCAGGGGUCAUCAUCCCAGGCCCAUCCGUGUUUAGAUGGGGAAGCCAAGUCCCUGAGGGAGGGAGGGGCUGGCCCAAGGAUGCACUGUUAGCUCAGCCUUUUAGUAUCCUUAGUCCCUGCUGUGUGCAUUCUCAGGAAGGUUGGUGGCAGGGCGGGGCCUUCUGGCUUUGCAGUUCAGUCUAUUCCUCUGAAGAAGCUAGCCCACUCCCCACACGGCAUUUACACCCAUCACACACACACACACUGGGACUCCUGCUUAUUCAUCAUGUGUGGCUCAGAAUGUCCCCUCCCCAGUCUCCCAGAUGCCGCCCGGGAGAAUGGGUCAUUCAUUCAUUCCCCUCAGCUCUCCAUGUCCCUCCAUCCCACAUGCGUGAUGUCGCAGUGUUAGGGAUAUUCUUAUGUCUUCCUCCUUCUGCAGACUGUGACUCCCUCUGGGGAAAGGGCAGGACUUGCUCACCUCGGGGUCCCCAGCAGCCAGCCAUGGGCCACCACAGUGGAGGCGUUCAGCAAACCAUUGUUGAAUAAAUGAAUGGAUUUCGCGUGGCCCAGAGGUUGAAGGAGGCAAUAGCCAAAAAUUGCACUUUUCCUUUUACAGCUCUGCUUUCUAAUGUAUUUUCUGAUUCUGGUCCUGCUUGCAGCUCACAUGGUCAAUUUCUAAACAACCAAGGGGGUCAAAAAUGCCCAGCUGUGCACGGCAGAGUUUAGGGCCUCCAGGGGAAGGGAUGUGAGAGAGGGAGUGGGGGAGUCUGGCUUCGUGGGGCAGAGAGGGAGGAAAGUCCUUUCUGGAGGGUUGCUGGGGGGCCCUCUGCAAUCCAGUCCCCGCCCACCCUGAGACACAGUUUGUACUUCUGAUUCUUAUAUCCUCUACCCUAGGAAUACGUCGCCUACAGCCACACGGGCCGCAUCAUCCCUGCAAUCUGGUUCCGCUACGACCUCAGCCCCAUCACGGUCAAGUACACAGAGAGACGGCAGCCGCUGUACAGAUUCAUCACCACGAUCUGUGCCAUCAUUGGCGGGACCUUCACCGUCGCCGGCAUCCUGGACUCAUGCAUCUUCACAGCCUCCGAGGCCUGGAAGAAGAUCCAGCUGGGCAAGAUGCAUUGACGCCACACCCAGCCUAAAGGCCGAGGACCCUGGGCAUCGCCAGCCUUGCCUCCAGUGCCCUGUCUCCUUUGGCCCUCAAUCUGGUCCCAAAUCUGGCUGUGUCCCAAAGGGUGUGUGGGAAAUGGGGGGAAAGUAGAGGAUGGCUCGAUGUUUUGCAGCUACCUCUUUUCCCCAUGUUUCUUUUUAGACAAAUUAUACUGCCUGAAGUUGCAGUUCCCCUUUCCCUGGGGAGCCCCAAGAACAGAGUCAGGCCAAGGGGUGGGGAGUCCAGGGAUCUUGGGGACCCCUCCUAGGAGAGCUGCAGUCUCUUCCUUCAGGGGAACAUCCCAGAAUGCGUAUCGAUCAGCUCUCAGCCAGGCUUCGACAAUCUCGCAGCCCCCACUAUGUGGACACAUUAAUGAUUUGGUUUCUCCCCUGGGCAGCCAACCUGCCCCAGAGGCACCAGACCUGGGCUUUCAGCUUUGGGACCAGGCUGCCCAAAGGUACUCCUUUAUACACCCGGCACCUUCCACGAAAGAUGGUACUUCCCAAGCAAGCCCCUAUGAUUUGUCACUAUAGAUGGAACCCUGACUUCUGCCCCAUCCCUUCCUGCCCAACCUAGAACCCAGGCCUCAAGUCUUUACCCCACCCCUUUCUUGUUCUUCCAAGAAGCAGAUGCCCAGUUGCUCAGCAGCAGCGGUAGAGACUUGAAUCUGCCCACCAGUCACAAGGCGGGUCACAGAUUCCUCUUCCUCUCUUCUCCUCGUUCCUCUGAACCCUCCACCAAUGUGCCUCAGCCUGUGUGCUGUGUGGCAACAGCAUUUCUUGGUGAAGGGGCUGGUUCCCACUGCCAAGAUCUCCCACCACUCUGCUGGGAUCUGCAGUGGCAGGGAGUGGGGGUUGUGUGACGGGGAAGUCAUCUUUUGAGAUCCAGAUAGACAUGGUUUGUGCACUUAUGUCCAGAUGGGAAGCAUCCUUCCUGCAACCCUAAAAUAAUCAUGCAGCCUCUCGGACGGACGCCAUCGGUCCCAAGGCCUCAGGUGGAGGAAGCAAAGCAGGCCAGCCCUGUCCUGUCCGUGGACCUCUACCUUCUGGACUCCCUACGGGUGCAGAGCACUUGGGUUUCUCUACAGCCAUCGUGGCCCACUUGACACUGUGCUCCUCCAUCAGCUGGUCACAUGCCAACACGUUCCCAGCCCCUGAGGCAGCUCCAGGGUGCCCCACCUGCUCCUGAGGUGGGUCCCUACCCUGCUGCUCCUCUUCAUCCUUUCCCUUUUGUCCUGAAAGGGAGGAGCAAUGGUCCAGGCAUUAAUUCCACCCAGGGAAUUUUAGCUAUGCCCUCAUGUCCCAGGGAGAGAGCCACACGCCUGUUUUCCAUUUAUAGCAAGAUUGUUUGCAUACUUUUGUAAUGAAGGGGAGUGUCCAGUGGAAGGAUUUUUAAAAUUAUCUUAUGGAUAGCUCAAGUCUCUGCCAUUUGUAAUUUUUGGCUCUAAGCUCCGAUUGGAGACGCUUCUCCUUGUGCAUGUGAGUUGACUGAUGUUGUGAGUGUAAAUGCAUUUGGUUAUUUCUGGUAUCGGUGGCCACUUGGAUGGAUUUCUUUUUUUACAUUCUGUUCCCCAGUUACAGGAAGGAGUCCCUUUGGUGUGUGAAUAUGUGUGCCUGUAGAGGGUGGGGCAGGGUGGGGUGGGGAUGGAAAUGUGUGGCAUGCACAUGAGUUGAAAUUCUUUUAUGCAUUUUUUUGAAAAAAAAAAAAAAAGAACUCUGAGGACAUAGGGGAUGUCAGUUUCCUAUGGAAGAGACACCUCUGACCCGUUAUUCUUAUAAUCAAAAUCUGAAGGGAAAAAAAUGUUUUAGUUCUUUCCCCACUCAUUGGGUUCAACUAGAUUAAAAGGCUGAUUUUCAG
rnacentral:sRNA from 1 species